GGCGGCCCAGGUACCGCCGCGCCCCGCCCCUUGCCCCGCCCCGCGCUCGAGUAGCCCCGCUUCCGGGCGGCCCCUGGCGGCGGAGGGGGCGCUGCGGCGCGGAGUCGCACGCGCGAGGGAAGGGGCUCGGCGACGGGCCCCGAAGACGCCCAGACCUUGGUGGCGCCGGCAGUGCCCGGGAGGACGCCCGGAGGUUCCCAAAUAACCCACAACCGCCGGAACCUCCAGAAAUGCUGGCGGGGUGCACUGUCCAGGGGAUACAACUUUCGAAAAGAUGACGAGAGAAGUAAACUCGAGACCCAAGGAGGAUGAAGGCAGGCUGUGUAUGACACCGCCACCCCGAACCCCGGAGCCAGAAUGGCUUGGAAGGACACUGCUGGAAGGAACGGCUCCCCUCUAUGGGGGCUUCACUCAUUCCCAGUACCCUGGAAUGGGACCAGGAUGACAGUUCUCAGAACCGAAGAGAAGCCAGGUGGCACCCGCAUAACCUGGACUUUGCAGGGUCUGGUGAUGCUCAAGUCUCAGAGAAAUUAGUUCCCUCUGUUUGGACUCAGUGGUGGGGAAAUGGAACUGAAGAAGAUUCCACGUGGUUUGCUUUGUUUUCCUCCAUCAGACAGAUCGUGUCUGUCGUCUGUAUGUGCAGCCUGGAUCCUGAGUGACCAGCCAGCGUAAAGGUACACGUGACCUUUUAAGGACCAGGCGUGUUUUUGCCGCAGGCAGGAGGGUUCUAUGCUUUAAUUGCCUGGAGGUUNNNNNNNNNNNNNNNNNNNNNNNNNNNNNNNNNNNNNNNNNNNNNNNNNNNNNNNNNNNNNNNNNNNNNNNNNNNNNNNNNNNNNNNNNNNNNNNNNNNUUUUUGCCGCAGGCAGGAGGGUUCUAUGCUUUAAUUGCCUGGAGGUUCCAUCCAAAAUUCGAAUCAGCCAACAGUGCGGUCUGUGAGCAGGGCGGUUACAUCUGCGGCACUUGGAGUCGAGCCUGGCUCGACACCCGAGCAGACCUCCUGGUUCUGCACGGUUGAAAAUGAAGUAGCAAUGGCCACUCACAGUGCUGCAUGGAAAGAUAGAGCUUGCUCAUGCAAUCUCCUAAAAUAACAGCCUCUCAACAGACUUAAAAAUUAGCAGAAGGAUGUGAGGCACUUGGAAAUGCAGAGGUAGAACUAUUUACCAAUUGAUAUGGAAGGAUUUCAAUAUUUUCACAACUGGAGCAUAUCAGCUCAUUUCCGGUCCUAAGUAUUAAUAUCAGCAGAACUGUACCCACCACAGGCUGCUUGAGAAGGCUUUGUUCCCUUUUAGAUGAGCUACAUGGGCAGCAUCAUUGCCUGGACAUCUGAACAUUGUGGUUUCACUGACAGGGCCUUGCUGGGAAGCUCCUUCCCUUACAGAGUGCUGAGAUAAUUUUCCUUAAGCAAAGAUGACAUCACUGACCUGAAGGCGGAUCCAGGCAACUGCCCUAUCUGGGGAACAAUCAUUCCUGCAGGUAUGUGACUCAUUGGAGCAAGAGAGAGAAAAAAAGAAUUUCAGAGACCUUAUCAAGCAGAUCUCUGCUCUCCUGCACUCUGACACAGCCAGCCCUAUCCCCAGGCUAUGUGUAACCCAGCAACAAGGAUGGACCGGGGACCAGGCUGGGUGAGGAAGGUCUGGAGCUAAAAUUGCCAAAGAUGCUUCAGACGUUAAUGGAGGAGGGCGUUUAGAAGAGAUGCGGCAAAGUCUCUGCCCUGGCAACUUCACUUUCUGUUCUCUUUUUAUCUGCUUUCAGUAUUUCCAAUUAAUCUUGGAAUGAGAGCCCCAGGCAAGAAGCCAGCGGUGCCUGAGGAAUGCUAAAGAGCAGACUGAGCCAGGGAAACAAAUGCCAGCGAGGGACCCCACAGCAAAGAGACAGACACCAUGAGCAACUCUCCGGUUACCAUGAGGCUCGCGAGGCAUGUGUGCGGGUCUCUGCGUUGGCACCAUCUGCCAAUUCCUUAGGAGGACAGAACAAACCGGCGAGGCAUGAAGAUUAGAUUAUGUAAUGCUCGAGGAUUGCUGUUUUCAAAGAGGAAACAAAUGGAACAAAUUGAUUUGCUUGUCAGAGUCAUGUCAGUAAAGGAGACCCAUUCCCUCCUCUUCCAAGAGGACUUCAUUAAAGAGGGGGAUGAUUUCACAGAAUCAGAAAAUGUGAGACCACGAUGGACUCCAUUCACAAGAGCAAGUCCAGUUUCCGGAACUGCACUGACAAACCCGCUUCUGGUCCUCAGGCCUGAAAAAUGACUAUUCAGCCACUACCUAAAAGGUACCAACACGCAAGGAACAUAAUUGCCAGUUGCCAGCCAUGAGAUUCAGAACCUGGGCGCUUUGCCUGAACUGAACUCGCUCGCUUCUGGGGAGGGAAGCAGCAUCUACUUUUGAGUCCAGUAGGGUCAUAGGUAUAUUCCAAGCUCUAAGCAAGUGCUUCUUUGAUAGGGUGGGGAGGUGUUCUGAAAAAUAUGUGCACCGGGAAGAAUCCCUUGCAUUUCUGGGAUUCUUUGGUCAAAGCUGGGCUUCUUUCAAAAUGUCCAGCUUAAUACUUUUUAUAGAAUGUUCAGUAGAUCCAAAGAAUAAACACAUGAUAACCUUGAACCUCCUGCCACAGGGCCAUCCCUAAAGGUUUCAUUGUCUAAGACAUCAAGAUUUAAAUGUCAGGUAUGUACCAGAUACUUUUCCAUUUGACCUUCCUGAUCUACUGUCUGACCUGGGAUGCUCCCCUGUACAGACGCCAUGGACUUGACACUCUAGCUUCCAUUUAAGUACAGCCAGUGGGAGGUGGCAGCAGCAGACUGGAGGGCAGAAGGACACUGAGGGUGAUGUAUUUAUUUCCUUGCUUCCCUCCCUGCCAGUGGCCUCAGGUUGGUUAUGUCUUUUGAUAAAAGGUCACUGCUCCCUCUCAAGGCAGCCCUUUCCACACAGCUCUCUUCCUGGGUUCUAGAAUUUCUCCCUCUCUUUUAACUUUUAGCUCUAGGAAUGGUAAGCUGCUAAGUCACUUCAGUCAUGUCCGACUCUGUGCGACCCCAUAGA
rnacentral:lncRNA from 1 species